UAUCUCUGUAGAGUCUGCAUAUCAAUAAGCGGAGGAAAAGAAACUAACUAGGAUUCCCUUAGUAACGGCGAGUGAAGCGGGAAGAGCUCAAAUUUGAAAUCUUCAAGGUUUUACCUUGACGAAUUGUAGUUUAAAGAAGUGUUUUCUGUUGGUGUUUUGGUGAAAGUUCUUUGGAAUAGGACAUCAUAGAGGGUGAGAAUCCCGUAUUUGACCAUUACUUCCAGCGUUGUGAUACACUUUCAAAGAGUCGGAUUGUUUGGGAUGCAGUCCAAAAUGGGUGGUAAAUUUCAUCUAAAGCUAAAUAUUGGCGAGAGACCGAUAGCGAACAAGUACCGUGAGGGAAAGAUGAGAAGAACUUUGAAAAGAGAGUUAAACAGUACGUGAAAUUGUCAAAAGGGAAGCGUUUGACACCAGUGUUGUUUUCUCGAAAAUCAAUUAAAAAAGGCAGGAUUUUGUGUUGUAUUGACUUUAUCAGCUUUCUGCACUCUUUUCUUGUCUUUUUUAAUGCACUUUUCGUUUAACAAGUCAACAUCAAUUUCUUUUGUUGUAAAAGGGUCAUUGGAAGGUGGCUUUCUUUUCGGAGAAAGUGUUUAUAGCCUUUGGCCUCUGCAAUCGGAGAGAUUGAGGUCUGCAGCGUAGAUCCUUCGGGGUUAGAUACAUUUGUGCUAAGUUAUAGCCUUUCAUAGACAACUUGUUGACUAUGAUCAGUCAUGUAGCUUACUCGCUUAUGCUAUUUUACCUACGCUUAGGAUGUUGAAGUCAUCGUAUCGCGC
rnacentral:rRNA from 1 species